rnacentral:tRNA from 2 species
AAGACUUUAAGUUAAUAAAACUAUUAGCCUUCAAAGUUGAAAAUAUUAGGUAAAUUUUAAGUCUUA